rnacentral:rRNA from 1 species
CAGUAGCCGCGGUAAUACGUAGGUGGCAAGCGUUGUCCGGGAUUAUUGGGCGUAAAGCGCGCGCAGGUGGUUUAAUAAGUCUGAUGUGAAAGCCCACGGCUCAACCGUGGAGGGUCAUUGGAAACUGUUAAACUUGAGUGCAGGAGAGAAAAGUGGAAUUCCUAGUGUAGCGGUGAAAUGCGUAGAGAUUAGGAGGACCACCAGUGGCGAAGGCGGCUUUUGGCCUGUAACUGACACUGAGGCGCGAAAGCGUGGGGAGCAUACAGGAUUAGAUACCCCUGUAGUCCCUGUCUCUUAUACA